GACGAACGCUGGCGGCGUGCCUAAUACAUGCAAGUCGAGCGGACCGAAGGGAGCUUGCUCCUUUAGGUUAGCGGCGGACGGGUGAGUAACACGUGGGCAACCUGCCCUGCAGACUGGGAUAACUUCGGGAAUCCGGAGCUAAUACCGGAUAACACCGAAAACCGCAUGGUUUUCGGUUGAAAGGCGGCUUUUAGCUGUCACUGCAGGAUGGGCCCGCGGCGCAUUAGCUAGUUGGUGAGGUAACGGCUCACCAAGGCGACGAUGCGUAGCCGACCUGAGAGGGUGACCGGCCACACUGGGACUGAGACACGGCCCAGACUCCUACGGGAGGCAGCAGUAGGGAAUCUUCCGCAAUGGACGAAAGUCUGACGGAGCAACGCCGCGUGAGCGAAGAAGGUCUUCGGAUCGUAAAGCUCUGUUGUCAGGGAAGAACAAGUACCGUUCGAACAGGGCGGUACCUUGACGGUACCUGACGAGGAAGCCACGGCUAACUACGUGCCAGCAGCCGCCGUAA
rnacentral:rRNA from 1 species